AUACAUUACUCUUCAAAAUGGUGAGAUAUACCAACUUUGUUCAUUUUCACACAGUGAGAGAACAGUGAUUACAGUGACAAGCUAAGGGUAGGCCGAGGUUGGGCGAGUCGAACACAGUACUGCAAGGGUUUGAGUGAGACGGGCCAGUCGCCUUCAACAACCUGAGUUUCAAAAUACUGCGCUGAUUUUCCCUUUGCUUGAAGACGCCAGCACAACAGUCUCAGAUACUGUGUUUUGAACGACUUUCUUUCAGUGAACGAGAAGAAAAGGGUUAAAAAUAUCUGCCAUAUAAACGUCACGAUGAGAAGCUGCUGCUCUGUUGACUACCAAGGAGAAACUUGUUUUUAUGACCUCGAAAAAAAAAAUUAGGAAACCAGUCCCCAGAGCGAGAAACCUGAGCCCUGCCAAGAGAAAACGAGACAGGAAAUGAGUCACCAUUGUUGGAUUGAGGACAACGUGAGUGGCCUUUCCGCAUACGGAACGAGAGAGGAUCAAGCCACAAUGCACUCAGAUUGCAAUGCACUCAGAUUGCUAGGCUCGCACCUAUCAAAUGACGAGGGUCACAAAGACCGCAGCUCACCUUGACACCAGUUUAUAUUCACCUGAUAUAUACUACUGUAUAAACCAUAGUAUACACACCUUCAACGAUAAUAUGUUAAAAGAUACUGGAUAAAUCAACUGACUUUGGUCUUAUUCUAUUUGUUUAUUUGGUUUAAGCCCUACUGACUGCACGUGGGUCAUUAAGCCCGUAAUUCAUCAGUACGCCAUCAACCAUAUUUUUAUUCCUGAAAAAAAAGAGUAUUAAAGAAAACUCUUAAGUGUAUUUAUAUUGAGAGAUUCCCACCUCCCUUGUAUGUAUUCUGCGAUCAUUAACAUUC